rnacentral:rRNA from 1 species
CAUUAAAGAAUACAAGGCCUUCGGGUCCUAUUCUCACCCUUUGUAUACCAAAACUCUUGUUGCCUUGGCGCUUCGUGCGCCGAAGGAAGUAAACCCUUGAAUCUCUGCUGUNUGAGUACUAUAUAAUAGUUAAAACUUUCAACAACGGAUCUCUUGGUUCUGGCAUCGAUGAAGAACGCAGCGAAAUGCGAUAAGUAAUGUGAAUUGCAGAAUUCAGUGAAUCAUCGAAUCUUUGAACGCACUAUUGCGCCUCCUGGCAUUCCGGGAGGCAUGCCUGUUCGAGCGUCAUUACAACCCUCAAGCUCAGCUUGGUCUUGGGCUCGCCUCCUUUGGCCUGCCUCAAAAUCAGUGGCGGCACAAUCCGAUCCUUAAGCGCAGUAAUACACGACGCUUACUUGUGUGAAGAUUGCGGCUCCAGAAACCCCCACAAACUAAAGGUUGAC